CUGUUUUAUUCCUUUAACAAAGUAUUUCAUUUAAGAGGGUAAUACUGUAAUUUAACUGUUUGGCUUCUCAAGGUACAAAUUUAGGCCUUGUUUCUGCAGUGUCUCUGUGGUGGGAAUGAUCCAGAAGGUUCAUCCUGAGAUGCAGCCUCAAUGCCUAAACAGCUGGAAGAGCUACAGAAAACUUCAUUGAGUGGGUUUAAAAUGCACCAGGCAUCAAUGAAUGCAUUCAUUCCAUCAGGGAGGGUCCCUAGCAGCAUGCCUGGAACAAAACAAAAAUUCCUGUCCAAAAAAAAAAAAAAAAAACCAAAAAACCAUAGAAAAGACACACAGAGUGGAAAGAGGUAAAAACAGGAGAGCCAGUCAGCUGCAGGUUGAGCUUUUAACAAUGGUCAUACCAGACCUGGACUGAAACCAUUGUUCUAGAUAAUCUCCUGGAUACGGUGGCAGCUGUUGAAGCUGGGGUGUAUUCCUGUAAAGCAUGCUGUCUGACCAUCCAACUCAAAUGUCACUGACUGCAAGUGAAAUUCAGAAACUUAAACCCACAACCAUCACUCCAGAGGCAUGUAGGAACUCUUUUUUGAUCAACUCUAUCCUGCAAUGAUAGAACAUACUUGUAAAAUUUGAGUUAAAUAUUCUGGAUUUUCUGCUAUUCUGCUCUGCCAAUAUUAUGGUCCCAACCCAGCAAUAUGUUAAGCUUGUGCUCAAUUCUAAGCAUCUUAAUGAUCUGAUGGUAGUAGCCAGUAGCGUGGCUGUUGGCUUUGAUUUAAAGACUUCCCUAAAUGCAUUGCUGACUUUGGCCUUCUGUACCACAGGUUAAUACAUUAAGAUUAAAAAUGAAUAAGUUCAGUUGUAUCGUCAUCCACCAAACUGUCUCUAUCAAUCCAUUAAUAUAAUGUUCUUCUCAUCAGUGUGUUUAUUCUGCCCCAUCUCCCCA
rnacentral:lncRNA from 1 species